rnacentral:lncRNA from 1 species
GCUCACUGGAUGCCGAUCAAUAGGGACCCAGAAGCCCACGAGAUGGUCAUUUCCAACCACAAUGGAGACCCCUGAAAGCUCGCCUGGGAUCCACAGCCUAGGAGCUGGGAGAAGGCACACAAGAGCCCACCAGGUGCGCUCUGCCCGUGACACAGGUCAGGUGCGCUCUGCUCUUCCGCCCACUUCGGAGAGAGGCGUGCAGGCCGCUGGUGCGCCCAGGUGAACUGCAGCCAGUGCCCAGGCCAGGUGCACUCCGCCCAUAGGACCACUUCCUGGAGAGGCGGGCCUCCCUACUUCGGCUAGGUGAAACAAAGCCAAUGGCGAGCAAAGCCACCCCACGGAGACAAUCCAAGCUUUUUAUUAGCGGAUCUGCCCUGAUAUCUGAGUCAAUUUGAACACUAUUUGGUACAUAAUUUAGGAAUAAAACUAUGACUACAGAAAG